UACAGAGGGUGCGCGCGUUACUCGGAAUUACUGGGCGUAAAGCGCGCGUAGGCGGCUUUGCAAGUCGGGUGUGAAAUCCCCAGGCUUAACCUGGGAACUGCAUUCGAGACUGCAUUGCUAGAGUAUGGGAGAGGGAAGUGGAAUUUCCGGUGUAGCGGUGAAAUGCGUAGAUAUCGGAAGGAACAUCAGUGGCGAAAGCGACUUCCUGGACCAAUACUGACGCUCAUGUGCGAAAGCGUGGGGAGCAAACAGG
rnacentral:rRNA from 1 species